AACGAACGUUAGCGGCGCGCCUAACACAUGCAAGUCGAACGCGAGAGGGGCAACUCUCUUGAGUGGCGCACGGGUGAGUAACACGUAGGUAAUCUUCCCCCGAGUGGUGGAUAACCUUCCGAAAGGAGGGCUAAUACAGCAUAAGACCACGGCCUCGAAAGAGGCUGAGGUCAAAGCGGAGGAUCGCAAGACUUCGCGCUUGGGGAUGAGCCUGCGGCCCAUCAGGUAGUUGGCGGGGUAACAGCCCACCAAGCCUAAGACGGGUAGCUGGUCUGAGAGGAUGAUCAGCCACACUGGAACUGAGACACGGUCCAGACUCCUACGGGAGGCAGCAGUGGGGAAUCUUGCGCAAUGGACGAAAGUCUGACGCAGCGACGCCGCGUGGGUGAUGAAGGCCUUCGGGUUGUAAAGCCCUGUGGGGAGGGACGAAUAAGUUCCGGUUAAUACCCGGAGCGAUGACGGUACCUCCUUAGCAAGCACCGGCUAACUCUGUGCCAGCCGCCGCUGUAAAAC
rnacentral:rRNA from 1 species